GGGACCAUGACAAAACUCGAGAGGUCCAUCUGACUAAUAUCAUUAGCCUCAACCCUAAUCUAACACACAAGAUCCAUAUAUUUACUUGCAAUAAGGUUCCAUCCCCUAAAAUUACUCAGUAUCCUCGUAUGGUGAUCAAUCAUAUGUUCAUCCACCUUAUUAUCCCCAAUAGUACACCACAAACCCUUAAAAUUAUCCUCCUACUCUACAAAAAUAGCAAAGUCCCUCUAGACCCAAUUUUUUAUUUGAACUAAACAAUGAAAACGGAAGGAAUACAUGGGAUAAUUUCAAACCAAUUAGGGAAUCAUAUGCCAGUUCGUUCCAGAAAUUAAGAUUGUGAGGCAUGAUUACUCCUCUCUUUGGGUAUACUAUUGAUUCGUAUUCAAGAAAUUUGAUCUUAAUGUAUGUGGUGCAUAUCAUUUUGAUGUUCAGGGUGAUAGUAAUGAAGAUUGUCAUGCUUUGAAAUGAGAAUAGAGAGGAUCAUUCAAGAUAAGUCAAUUAUGGCGUAGGGCAUUGACACUACAUGCAUCACACAAAAAAAAUUUUCUAGCAUGCAAUAAUACAUAAUGGGUAAGAAUUGCUAAGUUCGUCAUAGGGACCCAUAACCUAUUUGCUGAGGGAAAUAUAUUUGAAAACAAUGAAUGUUCUAUCAUGCUGAUAUGAGAUGUCAUACUUGGCAAUUAGAAAGUCAGUCCUAUCCCACCAUGAAGGAGUUUUGGUAUUUUAUUUUGGUUUUUCUUUCUGUUAUUUGAAUUAUUUUUAGGCUUGUAAUUUGUGAUCAAUCUUGUUUUAUUUCUUUGUCAUUUAUGUCCAACGCCUUCUAUAUUUUCAUUCAACAAAAUGUAGUGUCCUUUUUAUUUUUAACUUUUUAAUAUAUGUUG
rnacentral:lncRNA from 1 species